CUGAAUGUUCAACGUAGAUCUUGAAAAUAUAUGAUUUGACAGAAUCAUCUUGCAAUUCAUCAAACGACAUUUCAAUUCACUUCACGUACUGUGAUGUUACAUUUUAUUUACUAACUCUCCUUUUGCUUGUAGCUUUAUAAGAAGGAACGGAUAUUCAACAGCAGUGAUACUUUCCCUGCUAAUUCCAUGCAAAAUUGAUGAUAUAGUAUCCAUAUUGCAUGCAUACUGUAGUAUCUGGUAUGGCUCGCGAAGCUUCAGUCACCUGUAUUUUCUUCAUAUGUUCCUUUACUUAAGGAUGCGAACCAAUCCGGUACAGCCGUUGUAUGGGUCUGUCGUACUCCCAAACAUCCUUCCCGAACAUCGUCGGGUGGCCGAAUCAAGGUGUUGCUCUCCAACUCGCCCCGUCCGUGAUCCCGUCAUACGAUCCAAUCAGUAACUGUCAUCCGGACUUGAAUCUCUUCAUGUGUUCGAUUUUGUUUCCGCGGUGUACAUCUGAAGGACAAAUACUUCCAUGCCGCUUGUUCUGCAAUGAGAUUAACGCUACAUGCGGGGAACGAGCUCAGGCCUCCGGUGUUCAAUGGGAUGCUUCGAUCUGUCUGCGUCUUCCUGACAACAACUGCUCUUCACCAAAUGCUACAAUGACUUCCACGACAAAGUCAACAACAGCACCAACAUCAAAGAUGCCAUCACAAACUAAAUCUAAGACAACACAGUCACCAUCAACAACUACAAAACCAACAACA